CCCGUACAGACCCGGGUCGCCAGCGCCNUGUGAAGCUCCUUCGACGAGUCGAGUUGUUUGGGAAUGCAGCUCCAAGCGGGAGGUAAAUUUCUUCUAAGGCUAAAUAUCGGCCGGAGACCGAUAGCGCACAAGUAGAGUGAUCGAAAGAUGAAAAGCACUUUGGAAAGAGAGUUAAACAGCACGUGAAAUUGUUGAAAGGGAAGCUCUUGCUACCAGACUUGCCCGCGCGCGCUCCGCCCCCGGCUCGCCGGGGGGUCACUCGCGCGCGGGCGGCCAGCAUCAGCUCGGGCGGCCGGAUAAAGGCGGCGGGAAUGUAGCCCCCUUCGGGGGGUGUUAUAGCCCGCCGUGCCAUGCGGCCUGCCCGGGCUGAGGACCGCGGCUUUCGAGGAUGCUGGCGUAAUGGUCGCAAGCGACCCGUCUUGAAACACGGACCAAGGAGUCUAACAUCUGUGCGAGUGUUUGGGCGUUAAACCCAUGCGCGUAGUGAAAGCAAACGGAGGUGGGAACCCUCUCUCGCGGGGGGCGCACCAUCGACCGAUCCUGAUGUCUUCGGAUGGAUUUGAGUAGGAGCAUAGCUGUUGGGACCCGAAAGGUAUGUAACAAAGCUUUUGGCAAAUGCGAUUACAGCGUACUAACCCCCCUCGCAGAUGGUGAACUAUGCCUGAAUAGGGUGAAGCCAGAGGAAACUCUGGUGGAGGCUCGCAGCGGUUCUGACGUGCAAAUCGAUCGUCGAAUUUGGGCAUAGGGGCGAAAGACUAAUCGAACCGUCUAGUAGCUGGUUCCUGCCGAAGUUUCCUCAGGAUAGCAGUAACGUAUUCAGUUUUAUGAGGUAAAGCGAAUGAUUAGAGGCCUUGGGGUUGAAACAACCUUAACCUAUUCUCAAACUUUAAAUAUGUAAGAAGCCCUUGUUGCUUGGCUGAACGUGGGCACUCGAAUGCACCGUUACUAGUGGGCCAUUUUUGGUAAGCAGAACUGGCGAUGCGGGAUGAACCGAACGCGGGGUUAAGGUGCCAGACUCUACGCUCAUCGGAUACCACAAAGGGCGUCGGUUGAUCUAGACAGCAGGACGGUGGCCAUGGAAGUCGGAAUCCGCUAAGGAGUGUGUAACAACUCACCUGCCGAAUCAACCGGCCCCGAAAAUGGAUGGCGCUUAAGCGUAGGACCCAUACCCCGCCGCCGGGCAGGCUCGACGCCCCGGCGAGUAGGCAGGCGUGGGG
rnacentral:rRNA from 1 species